AAAUUGAAGAGUUUGAUCAUGGCUCAGAUUGAACGCUGGCGGCAGGCCUAACACAUGCAAGUCGAACGGUAACAGAAAGCAGCUUGCUGCUUUGCUGACGAGUGGCGGACGGGUGAGUAAUGUCUGGGAAACUGCCUGAUGGAGGGGGAUAACUACUGGAAACGGUAGCUAAUACCGCAUAACGUCGCAAGACCAAAGAGGGGGACCUUCGGGCCU
rnacentral:rRNA from 1 species